AUUGAACGCUGGCGGCAUGCUUUACACAUGCAAGUCGAACGGUAACAGGCCGCAAGGUGCUGACGAGUGGCGAACGGGUGAGUAAUGCAUCGGAACGUGCCCAGUCGUGGGGGAUAACGCAGCGAAAGCUGUGCUAAUACCGCAUACGAUCUAUGGAUGAAAGCGGGGGACCGUAAGGCCUCGCGCGAUUGGAGCGGCCGAUGUCAGAUUAGGUAGUUGGUGGGGUAAAGGCUCACCAAGCCAACGAUCUGUAGCUGGUCUGAGAGGACGACCAGCCACAGUGGGACUGAGACAAGGCCCAGACUCCUACGGGAGGCAGCAGUGGGGCAUUUUGGACAAUGGGCGCAAGCCUGAUCCAGCAAUGCCGCGUGCAGGAAGAAGGCCUUCGGGUUGUAAACUGCUUUUGUACGGAACGAAACGGUCUGGGUUAAUACCCUGGGCUAAUGACGGUACCGUAAGAAUAAGCACCGGCUAACUACGUGCCAGCAGCCGCAGUAACAC
rnacentral:rRNA from 1 species